rnacentral:rRNA from 1 species
UGGGUCUAAUACCGGAUAGGACCACGGGAUGCAUGUCCUGUGGUGGAAAGCGAUUAGCGGUGUGGGAUGGGCCCGCGGCCUAUCAGCUUGUUGGUGGGGUGAUGGCCUACCAAGGCGACGACGGGUAGCCGGCCUGAGAGGGUGUCCGGCCACACUGGGACUGAGAUACGGCCCAGACUCCUACGGGAGGCAGCAGUGGGGAAUAUUGCACAAUGGGCGCAAGCCUGAUGCAGCGACGCCGCGUGGGGGAUGACGGCCUUCGGGUUGUAAACCUCUUUCACCAUCGACGAAGGUUCGGGUUUUCUCGGAUUGACGGUAGGUGGAGAAGAAGCACCGGCCAACUACGUGCCAGCAGCCGCGGUAAUACGUAGGGUGCGAGCGUUGUCCGGAAUUACUGGGCGUAAAGAGCUCGUAGGUGGUUUGUCGCGUUGUUCGUGAAAACUCACGGCUUAACUGUGAGCGUGCGGGCGAUACGGGCAGACUAGAGUACUGCAGGGGAGACUGGAAUUCCUGGUGUAGCGGUGGAAUGCGCAGAUAUCAGGAGGAACACCGGUGGCGAAGGCGGGUCUCUGGGCAGUAACUGACGCUGAGGAGCGAAAGCGUGGGGAGCGAACAGGAUUAGAUACCCUGGUAGUCCACGCCGUAAACGGUGGGUACUAGGUGUGGGUUUCCUUCCUUGGGAUCCGUGCCGUAGCUAACGCAUUAAGUACCCCGCCUGGGGAGUACGGCCGCAAGGCUAAAACUCAAAGGAAUUGACGGGGGCCCGCACAAGCGGCGGAGCAUGUGGAUUAAUUCGAUGCAACGCGAAGAACCUUACCUGGGUUUGACAUGCACAGGACGCGUCUAGAGAUAGGCGUUCC